rnacentral:rRNA from 1 species
GAUGAACGCUGGCGGCGUGCUUAACACAUGCAAGUCGAACGAUGAAGCCCAGCUUGCUGGGUGGAUUAGUGGCGAACGGGUGAGUAACACGUGAGUAACCUGCCCUUAACUCUGGGAUAAGCCUGGGAAACUGGGUCUAAUACCGGAUAGGAGCGUCCACCGCAUGGUGGGUGUUGGAAAGAUUUAUCGGUUUUGGAUGGACUCGCGGCCUAUCAGCUUGUUGGUGAGGUAAUGGCUCACCAAGGCGACGACGGGUAGCCGGCCUGAGAGGGUGACCGGCCACACUGGGACUGAGACACGGCCCAGACUCCAACGGGAGGCAGCAGUGGGGAAUAUUGCACAAUGGGCGCAAGCCUUAUGCAGCGACGGCGGGUGAGGGAUGACGGCCUUCGGGUUGUAAACCUCUUUCAGUAGGGAAGAAGCGAAAGUGACGGUACCUGCAGAAGAAGCACCGGCUAACUACGUG